rnacentral:rRNA from 1 species
GAUGAACGCUAGCGGCAGGCCUAACACAUGCAAGUCGAACGGCAGCACGAAUAAGCUUGCUUAUUUGGUGGCGAGUGGCGCACGGGUGCGUAACGCGUAUGCAAUCUACCCCUAACAAGAGGAUACCCCGGAGAAAUUCGGAAUAAUAUUCUAUAAUACAUUUGAUUCGCAUGUUUUGAAUGUUAAAGCUAAGGCGGUUAGGGAUGAGCAUGCGUGACAUUAGCUAGUUGGUGAGGUAACGGCUCACCAAGGCAACGAUGUCUAGGGGUUCUGAGAGGAUGAUCCCCCACACUGGUACUGAGACACGGACCAGACUCCUACGGGAGGCAGCAGUGAGGAAUAUUGGUCAAUGGACGCAAGUCUGAACCAGCCAUGCCGCGUGAAGGAAGAAGGCCCUAUGGGUUGUAAACUUCUUUUAUAUGGGAAGAAACCCCUCCUCGUGAGGAG